rnacentral:rRNA from 1 species
UACGUAGGGGGCAAGCGUUGUCCGGAUUAUUGGGCGUAAAGAGCGCGUAGGCGGUCCGAUAAGUCGGCUGUGAAAGUCAGGGGCUCAACCCUUGGAAGCCGGCCGAUACUGUCGGACUAGAGUCCGGAAGAGGCGAGUGGAAUUCCCGGUGUAGCGGUGAAAUGCGCAGAUAUCGGGAGGAACACCAAUGGCGAAGGCAGCUCGCUGGGACGGUACUGACGCUGAGGCGCGAAAGCGUGGGGAGCAAACAGG